rnacentral:rRNA from 1 species
GACGAACUGUCCAAACGUUGUUCGGAAUCACUGGGCUUAAAGGGCGCGUAGGCGGUCGAUCAAGUCAGGGGUGAAAUCCUGCAGCUUAACUGUAGAAGUGCCUUUGAUACUGGUCGUCUCGAGGGAGGUAGGGGUGUGUGGAACUUCCAGUGGAGCGGUGAAAUGCGUUGAUAUUGGAAGGAACGCCGGAGGCGAAAGCGACGCACUGGACCUCUUCUGACGCUGAGGCGCGAAAGCUAGGGGGAGCAAACGGG